CUGAUAAUCUGUUAUAGCUAGAUAUAUAAUCUUCCACCAUUCUUUAUUUGCUUGUUUCUCAGGCGCCUCUCUCGAGUGCUUCCUCGGCUUGGCCUUCUUCUUCUUCUUCUUCUUCGAACUAAGAGAUACAGUUCAUAAGAAGAUUCGGGCAUCUGCUUGAGCAUCUCCAUGAGCUCCUUUCUACUAUCAACGAUUGCCCUCAACCGGGACGUUGGAGAGAGACAGCUAUACUGGUGGUUCUCCGGCAGCAAAGUGGAGGUUUCUGGUCUUCUCCACAGCAGAGGAGACGAUGCUCCGAGUUGAUCUUCUCCACACAUUUGGAAUUCAAACAGCUCAUCCUCACAGCCGUGACGAGCAACCGGUAACCUUUCUUCCCAAAACUUGAAAUCACUCAAUCUUCCCAUAACUAUAUAUGUAUGUGUGUGUUUAUGUUUCCUUGAUGAAGAAUGAAGGGUGAAGGUUAUGGUAGGAGGAGAGUAGAGGCAGUGAGUGGUUGCUUCAUUAAAUUAAACAUGAUUAGAAGUCGUAUAUAUAUUGUGAAUUGUGAUAAAGUAAUUAAUGAAGUUGCUAUUUUCUACGAUUUA